rnacentral:lncRNA from 10 species
GGAUGAAAAACACACCCCCUGUGAAUUUUUUCCAGGUUGGGAAGAUGUCAUGGAGUAGAAGCGUUCUUAAUUUCCUUGCAUCAAAUUUCAAACCAAAAUAUGCAGAUGAACACGAAUAAAAUAAGAACUAAAGCGGCUACUUUCCAAAUUAGUAUAGGAGAAAUAGUUAAGAAGAUUUAAUAAAUAAAUCCAAAAGGAGAGCAGAAAGCCACUGGGCCGAUGCAGUGGCUCAUGCCUGUAAUCCCAGCACUUUGGGAUACCGAGGCAGGUGGCUCACCUGAGGUCAGGAGUUCGAGACCAGCCUGGGCAACACGGUGAAACCUUGUCUCUACUAAAAAUAUAAAAAUUAGCCAGUUGUGGUGGCGCACACCUGUAAUCCCAGCUACUCAUGAGGCUGAGGCAGGAGAAUUGCUUGAACCGGGGAGGCAGAGGUUGUUGUGAGCUGAGAUCAUGCCACUGCAUUCUGGCCAGGGUGGCAGAGAGAGACUCCAUCUCAAAAAAAGAAAAGAAAAGAGUCGUGCGAGAUGCUGAACCUGUGAUGUAACUAGAAAUAAAACAGUGAAGGUGAAUCCAGGUCCUUAGGAGUAGAGGGCAGGCCAACGUAUGUGUUGUCACCAGAGGUGACUGAAAUCCAAGAAGGGAAGGCAGGAGGUCAGGGUCUGGAGUAACACCUCUGCUGAAAGGGCCAAGGGCAUUUUGUGGCCUUUUUAAUAUCUCAAAAAGAGACUUCAAGGCAGAACCUUGGCUAGGGUUAAAAGAGCUCUCACAUGGUAAGAGUUUGAGUUCUUCAGAAAACCUAACAGUUAUUGACUCCUGGGCUUUUAACACAGCCUUGGAACAGAAAUACCUAGAAUUGACAAGAUAAUUAUGCUUAACUGUAUGAAACUGGAGAUAUCCAAUGCUUUUGACCUCCAGGAACAGUAAUUACAUAUGGCUCAACCUACUGUUAAUAAAAAUAGACAAGUCUAACAUCAUGAAAUAUUUAACACAAAUUUUUCUAUAAGUAGAUCAAGAAGAAAAUAAAACAAUAGACAGUUGAUUGGAAAAAGAGCAAACAAAAACAUUCCCAAAGAUCCUACACAAUGUGAUUUCAUUACAUGAUAUGAAGAAUAUGAGUAGCUACACACUGAAUUGCUUAGGAAAAUAGAUGUGCAUAGUAAAACUAGAGGAGAAAACCAGAGAACAACCAACACAAGAGUGGGAAUUGGGGCUCCCAUUCAGGGAAGAGACGGUAGCAGGUGCAGAAGGAAAAGCCUACAAAGGAAAUUCCAUUUUUCCAGUUCUGUAUCCCUUAAGCCACACAGUGGGUACAGAGCCUCUGUGUGUCCUUUAUACACUGCCUACAUCAUGAAUAUUCAUUUGCAUCUAUUAAUAGUUUAAAAUAAUUUUUAAAUAAAAUUAUAUCAGUAAAUCAUAACAGCUCUACAUUUAAGGAAAAAUAUUUCCUUAAAUGUAAAUAUUCCUUAAUAAGGAAUGUAAACAUUCCUUAAAUGUAAAUAUUCCUUAAUAAGGAAUGUAAACAUUUCUUAAAUGUAAAUAUUCCUUAAUAAGGAAUGUAAACAUUCCUUAAAUGUAAAUAUUCCUUAAUAAGGAAUGUAAACAUUUCUUAAAUGUAAAUAUUCCUUAAUAAGGAAUGUAAACAUUCCUUAAAUGUAAAUAUUCCUUAAAUGUAAAUAUUUCCUUAAAGUUGAAAAUGGUGAUUUGUCAGCAUUUGAAAAAAAGAUUAGGAAGUUUCCUGCUGGUAACAGUCUGAUGUGUAGCUUUGCCUUAAAAAUGGAAAUUACAGAGCUAUCAUCAGGAAAGUUGCAAUAAAUAGGUUGGGCACGGUGGUUCAGCCUGUAAUCCCAGCACUUUGGGAGGCCAAGUGCUAAGAUCAGGGCAGAUCGCCUGAGGUCACGGGUUCAAAACCAACCUGGCCAACGUGGUGAAACCCUGUCCCCACUAAAAAUACAGAAAUUAGCCAGGUGUGGUGGCACAUGCCUGUAGUCCUGGAUAGUCAGGAGGCUGAGGCAGGAGAAUCGCUUGAACCUGGGAGGAGGAGGUUGCAGUCACCUGAGAUCAUGCCACUGCACUCCAGCCCAGGUGACAGAGCAAGACUCCAUCUCAAAAAAAAAAAAAAAAAAAAAAAAGACAAGUUGCAAUAAAUAUAUGUAGAGAAAUGUCUUCUUUAGAUGGGUAUACACACAGAUAGAUAGCUAGAUAGACAGACAGUUGCAUAGAUAAUUAGGUUCCUGACUAUAAAAGCACAUUAAGUAGAUAUUGCAAUAAAUGAAAAAAUGAGUAAUACAGAUUCCUAUAUUCCAUGGGUUUUUAGAUGAAUAGAAGACAUAAGAACAGAGUUUCUAGACUAAUAGAAGACAUAACACAAGAAUAUAAGACAGUAUGGUAAAUUCUGUAAAAGUGAUAUAAGCAAGAAUUAGAAGGUUCAGAGGUGGCAUAGAGUGAUUAGAGAAAUCAAAGCAGGCUUCGUGGAGGAGGUGGGCUUUGGAAUCCGGCGGAAGAGCAGGAGGGUGCAUUGAUUUGAAGUUCCCUUAAUUCUUUGUGGCACUCUUCUCCACUAGCCCGCAGCUCCUGAGAGCAGGAAGGACUGACUCCUGUUUUGUUCCUCUCUCUGACUAUAGGCAGCAGUGAGCCCCCCUGCCUCUGAUUGUCAUCUUUGGGGGCCAGAGAAGUGAGCAGCUAUCCUUCCCAGUCCCUGGUCCCUCCAAGCAGUGACAACAAAGAAUGGACCAGGCGAGGCAUUGUGUGUAGACACGUGAGACUUCUCAUCCAGGGUCAAGAGGAGAAGCAGCGGAUUAGGAGUGCCAUGACUUAAAGUUAACCUCUUUAGAGCAGAUGAGCCCUGCUUAUUCUAGGGCAUUCAGCUAUGUCUAAUCAAUCGCUCCUGUGCUUGGAAGAAUGGGAACACGACACAGUUUCCCCUUCUUCCUUGUUUAUCUCACUGUAGCGGUGAGAUAGACGAUGGUCACAUUGGUACCAUCACGGCGCUGCGGUCAUAGCAGUCCCUAUUUAUCCCACAGGUUCCCCUGAAUUCCGAGGCAUCCCACAUUUCACAUGAGCAAAUAGCCUUGACACCUGCCGCGUCUCCAGGACAAUAGGCAUUUCUGACCCACAUGAUCUGCACAAAGAAGAAAGCCUCUCUCUCUUUCUCACCACUGCAUCCCCAACUGAUGUGGACCGUGAUACAUAAUUGGAGUUAAAUAAAUAGUUGAGGUUGUCCUGGGGGUCGUGCCUUUUUAAGGCUAUGUGAUUAUGCCAAUUCAUAGAAAACAUGAGAUGAUUAAAAAGAGAAAUAAUUGGCCAGGCGCAGUGGCUCACACCUGUAACCCCAACAGUUUGGGAGGCCGAGGUGGGUGGAUCACCUGAGGUCAGGAGUUUGAGACCAGCCUGACCAAGAUGGUGAAACCAUGUCUCUUCUAAAAAUACAAACAUUAGGCUGGGCGUGGUGGCUCACACCUGUAAUCCCAGCACUUUGAGAGGCCAAGGCGGGCUGAUCACAAGGUCAGGAGAUCGAGACCAUACUGGCUAACACAGUGAAACCAUCUCUACUAAAAAAAAAUACAAAAAAAUUAGCUGGGCAUGGUGGCGGGCACCUGUAGUCCCAGCUGCUGGGGAGGCUGAGGCAGGAGAAUGGCAUGAACCCGGGAGAUGGUGCUUGCAGUGAGCCAAGAUCAUGCCACUGCACUCCAGCCUGGGCGACAGAGCAAGACUCCAUCUCAAAAAAAAAAAAAAAUACAAAAAUUAACCAGGCAUGGUGGCAGGCACCUGUAAUCCCAGCUACUUGGGAGGCUGAGGCAGAGAAUUGCUUGAACCUGGGAGGCGGAGGUUGCAGUGAGCCGAGAUUGCGCCACUGCACUCCAGCCUGGGCGACAGAGUGAGACUCUGUCUCAAAAAAAAAAAAAAAAAAAAAAAAAAAAGAAAGAAAAGAAAAGAAAAGAAAUAAUUGAAAAAAUCAAAACAGCAAGAAGGGCUGCCACAUAAGAAGAGGCUUAGAAGAUUUCCAAGGAAGGUUAAAAUCAAAGAAUAAUAGAGUUUAAAUCUGCACAAUCAUGAAGAAAAACUAUAAAAAACUACAAAUAAACUAUAGAUGGUCUCUCAUCUUACAGCUACAAAAUUAUAGAAAACAGAAAGAGAAAAGCUAAAGAAGAAAAUGUCACAGCUAAAAAUGGAAAUAUAUUUCCAAACAUUGUGAUUGUUUCAUGGGCACUUUAACCACAGUGAAUUAUUCAGGAGACUGAAAUGUUUGUGGUGGACCCCUGGGAAGCUCAGCAAGUAUUCCUUAGGUGCCCCCCAUGAAGUAAAAUACAUUUGGAGGCAAAUCGAGUUCCCAACAUGAUAAGAGUUUAAGUAACAGAAGACAGAGUGCCCUUCUCCCAGCAACCAGCUGUGGAUUUACUCGCAGAAUCUCUAAUACUAAAAUGACUGAGAGGAGUUGCCAGAGGCACAAAGCCCUGAUUUAAAAUCAGCAGAACCUUUGGGCUUUCAUUACUGCAGUGAUCCCAAGGUCAGAUUGUCUUUACUUUUGUAUUGUCAGUUUUCCAAGGUCAAAUACUUCAGCAUCUUUUCAACUGUUCCUUGAGCAAAUGUAAAAAUCAGGGCCGGGCGCGGUGGCUGAGGCCUGUAAUCUCAGCACUUUGGGAGGCUGAGGCAGGUGGAUCACGAGGUCAGGAGUUUGAGACCAGCCUGGCCAAUAUGGUGAAACCCCAUCUCUACUAAAACAAAUGCAAAAAUUAGCCGGGCGUGGUGGCAUGCACCUAUAGUCCCAGCUACUUGGGAGGCUGAGGCAGGAGAACUGCUGGAACCCGGGAGGCGGAGGUUGUAGUGAGCUGAGAUAACACCACUGCACUCCAGCCUGGGCAACAGAGUGAAACUCCAUCAAAAAAAAAAAUCAGGACAAUUUUUAUAAGGCAUUUCUUAUAGAGAUUUGCAGAAGACAGGGGACACAAAAGAAGCAAGCACCACUGGUCUUCUGGGCACAGAGAGAUGUGCCCCAUGGCUCCUGAUGCUCUCUAGGAGGGCCUUCCAAUGAACAGCGGGCCUGGGAGCAUUUGAGGGAAACAGCAGAAGCACUGACUCACUCCAAAGAUGAAGGGGGUGUCCUUCCUAACCCCGGAGUGGUGCCCCUCCCAACACUGGGUGAAGUGAUCAAAACCUCUCCCAACAAUUUUGGUCCUCUGACACCAGGUAGGUGAUACAAGGGAACCCACUUUUUACAGACACAAAGUAAAAGUGACUGUUGACUAAUCAUGAUUAUUAAUAAGCAUAAGACAGUCCAAGUAAAAUUCCGAUAGAGACUACAUUAUCAGGGAAGUGUAUAUAUGAUCACAAUUUAUCUGGGUCUUAGGUUUUUAAUAUGUACACACACACCCGUGUGCACACACACGUAUGUAAGUUGUUAACAAAGUAGGGAUUAACAGUAAAUAAAACAUCGUGAUUGUACAGUGAGGCCAAAGAAGUUACACAAAAACUAAGUGGAAUGAAACUGAGCUUUAUCAUUUUAAAAUUUGGUGGGUUUUUUUUUUGUUUGUUUUUUGUUUUUUGAGACGGAGUCUCGCUGUGUCCCCCAGGCUGGAGUGCAGUGGUGCGAUCUCGGCUUACUGCAAGCUCCGCCUCCCGGGUUUAGCCAUUCUCUUGCCUCAGCCUUCCGAGUAGCUGAGACUACAGGCACCCGCUACCACGCCCGGCUAAUUUUUUGUAUUUUUAGUAGAGACGGGGUUUCACCGUGUUAGCCAGGAUGGUCUCGAUCUCCUGACCUCAUGAUCCGCCCGUCUCGGCCUCCCAAAGUGCUGGGAUUACAGGCGUGAGGCACCACUCCGGCCUUAAAAAUUGUUUUUAAUUGCUGAACAAAUUUCUAAAAGAAACACGAGUAAAGCUGCCAACUGCAACGACACUUUCUUCGGAUUCUAUCAGAGGGAUUUUCAUUUGAGUUUCGCAGCACGUAUUUAGAAUCGCUGCAGUCUUUUACAACCAGAGAAAUGGCAUCUUCCAAGCUCACUCUCCACUGAAAAAAGAGUCAAGAUUUCCUCUCUGCAAAUAUCCUAAAAAUAUCAACCUUGUAGCAGGUAGGCAUCAGAAUAGCCAUUGUAAGGAGAGAGACUAAACCACUAGAUCACCUAAUAACUGCAUUUCCAGGAAAGCUUGAACAAAAGAGAAAACAAGACACAGAGUGACUUAUCUACCAAUGCCUCAUUACACAAAGAGCUUCCAGAAAUUCUACCAUGGAUUAUGAAUUUAUUUUGCCAAAUAGGCAGACUUCAUUACCUGGCCAGUUCUAACUGUGGUUUUUGGGACCUUCAGGAUUUAGCAUCACUUAGGAACACGAUGCCACGUUUUCCUGAAAUAAAGCUUACUGCUAAGUUUAACUACUUUAAACGAUAUUUAACAGCAAUCUCUCAGUCCCUUUGAUAGACAAUAAUUAAGCAUUUCCUGUGCUUCAGCAAUGUGGUGCCUGCUUUUGUAGUAGAUAAAUUCACAACCUCCUGCUGUCAGCAGUCAGGAUGUGGUAUGGGGUGUCUAGUCAGGUACAGAGUAUUUCACUUGUCUUAACCCCAUGGUGAGGGGAUGCAAACUCAGACUUAGUGCUCAAAUAUUUUCCAAAGCGACAGACACAGUUGGUAGGUUGUGAGAAUAACAUUUGAACCUAGGUCUUUUUACCCUCUAAGCUUGCAUGAAUUUCAAUUCUAAAAUGUAUUUUUACAUCUUUGCUGUCUAACAUAGAAGAAUCAGCAGAAUUUAACUUUGGAUUUUCUUUAUUGUGAUAACUCUAGAAGUAUCAUUGUUCUGAGAAGUAAAACUCUGAUUUCUUUUUUGUUGUUGUUCAAUAACCCAUGUCUGGCACGGCUCUUCAACGAGUCCUCUGCAGUGCUCAUGGGGCUUUUCUUGACUUAAUUAUAAUGGCAAUUACCUUCAGAAAGCAACGUGAAGCUUUCAGUAUUCUAGCAUUUGAUCUUCACAACAAGCAGGUGAGAUGGUGAUUUUACAUAGUACAUCUGAGCAAACAGGGUUAGACUGUGCCAGGGGUUUUACACUGGGGAGGACUUUAUACGCAGGACUCUCAUUACAAACCCAGUGUUCUCUCUGGGACUUUGAGGAUUCUGUUACUUAACUGUGGUCUGGAGAUGUGGAGAGUUUAGGGGCACUGGUGCUGGUGGGCUGACUUUGAUCUACAGCCAUAACAUUUGGAGAAACAUGUAUCUUGUACAUUUUUCUUUGUUUACAUCAAUUCUGGUGUAUUUGCUUUCAUUGUUUUAUUUCUGGUUCUUUAAGGGAUCAUAAUUCUUCAGCCUAAAAAACUUUCUUUAAUUUACUUGUGGCACAGACAUGCUCCAGCGAAUUCUGUCAGAUUUUCUUCAUCUGGAAGCACCUUUAUUCCACCAUGGGAUUUGAAAACAUAUUCAGAGGUGUUGAAUUCCAUCUAGAGAAUCUCCUUUUCAGUCUUCCAGAGGUGUUACGCCAUUUUCUUUUCAGUUGCAUAAAUUUUAAUGAGAAGCAAGCUGUAAUUGUUAUAUAUUAAAUUCUUAUAUUUGUAAAUCUUAUCUCUCAAUUCUACAUGUGAUUUUUUGGCUGCUUCUUAAAUUUUAUCUGUACUCUCCGUUUUCAACAGUUUGAGUAUCAUUUCUCUCUCUGUCUCUCUCUGUCUUUCUCUGUGUGUGCAUGUGUGUUUGUGUGUUUGUGUGUGUGUGUGUGUUGUAUUGUAUUGUAUUUAUUUGGGUUGGACUUUACCUCUUGGUUUUGUGGUUUGAUGUCUUCCAUUAUUUUUGAAAAAUUAUUGGCUAUUAACUCCACAAAUAUUUCUUAUAUUUCAUUUUAUCUCUCUUUUUAGAUUCCAAAGGCACUUUAGCUCACUUUAUAUUUUAUCACAGACCUUGGAGGCUUAGUAUUUUUACACCAUUCUUUAAUUAUUUUGUUUUAAUUGCUCUAAUUUUUAUUGAUCUAUUUUCAAGUUCACUGAUUUUCUCCUUGCUGUGUCCAUUCUACUGAUGAGUUCAUUGAGGGGAUUCUUCAUCUGUGAAAGCAUAUACUCUUCACCUACCUUUCUAUUCAACUCAUGCUUACAUUUCCCUUUAUAUAGUAACAUCCUCCAACUAUACAUUCAUAUUAUUCACCAUUUUCGUUAAAGCCUUUAACAUAAUCAUUUGGUUACUUUUAAAAAUUACAAUAAAAUUGUUGUAGCAGUUGAGUCUGCUCUGAAUCUCACCUACUUGAUUUUUGCCCCUUUCUGUCCUUGUUAGGUGUAUGUUAUAAUUUUUUAUUGCAUUCUGGAUAUCAUACUCAGCACACCAAAAUCCAUAAUAUUAAUAAAUAGCAUGCACAUUUGGGAAUGAUGAUACCCCUUCUACCAGGUCACUGGUGUGGGUUGAAGUCAGCCCAGGUGGUAGUUAAGCCUAGUUCGUAUUGUCUGAUUUCUAUGCUAACUGCCAGAGCACGAAAGACUUCAACUUUCUCUCAUAGUGCUAUGUACUCAGUAUGAAACUGGGGCAUGAUACAGUCACCUCACCCUGAGAGGUUACUUGGGUGACUUUGCUGUGUUUGUAUUUUUUGAAUGUUUUGUCCGACCUUUCCUUUAAGCUGUUUCACCACACGGGGCCUCUCCAUUGCUGCCCUCCUCCCGCAGUGGAGCACCUCUGCCUAGCAGGUGUGUGCUCGGCCGGAGUCGGGUGUCCAGCGUGCUCUCCAGCUCCCUAGUCUAGCUGUCCCUUUAAGUUGGCUGCGCCUCUGGGUCUCCUCAAUGGUACUUUCCCAAUGCUCUUGCGGCUUCUCACCGUGGCAGCACCGCGGUUCCUCUAUCUGUGGGGCUUUUUUAGGAGAGUGGUUCCUGCUGUUCCCCAUGUAGCAGGCGACCUCUGAGGGCACUACUAUAGGAAGCUGAGGUUGAGAUGACUUCCAGUCCCUUCACCGUGGGUGGAGGGUUUUGACUUUCAUUUUUUCCUUAGUAACAAUGGUCCACUGUGUUCGGUGAGCUACAGGAUUCAUAGUCUUUCCCUCAGCAGCCUAAAAUCUUUGUUCCAAAUGAGAGAUGAAUCCAGGCCGUGUUCAUGCCUUUCCUGCCUUCUCUGCACCUGCACCUCUAGGAGACCCUCUCCAAUCCACUGUGCUGCCUCCAGUCACUCUUGUGAGUUCCUGGUGAGGUCCAUUUGAGAUAAUUUACAAAUAAAUGCAAACUUGCUUUUGUCUGAAUUUCCAGGGGUUUUAUACUUUACCCCAGCCUAGGCUGGGCUUCUGCUGAUUAGUUGUACAUUUUAUGACUUCUUCCUCCCUGUGUGGUGGCAUAUCUGUGUCCUGUGGUCCACCAUGUGUGGGAUCUGUGCACAUUCAGUGUCUUGUUUCUUCCUGGAAUUCAGGCUGCUUGGUUUCAUUGAGAACUUGGCUCUCUGAUGGUUGAAAAACGUUAUGUUUUUGUAAGUUAUUCUACUAUUUUCUUGCGGUUAGUGUGGGAACAACACUCAUUCCAGCUUACAUUCUAAACAGAAUCAGAAGCUCACCAGCUCUUCCGAUGAGUUGGUUGAAAGAGCUACUCUAGGCAACCAUCUCAGUACAUGUGCAAACUUGCCAAUUAUUUUUCUUCAAACAUGAUCACUAUUACUGCAUGAUUCCAAUAAGCUGACAUGUUGCAUUUCAUUAUACAGGAUCCUCAAAGUACAGUGGUCUAACUAUUGAUCAUGGGGCAAAAUUUGGGACCAGCAAAGAGAUACAGGUCAGGCGUGGUGGUUCAAGCCUGUAAUGCCAGUGCUUUGGAAGGCCAAGGUGGGCAGAUCGCUUGACCUCAGGAGUUCCAGACCAGCCUGGCCAACAUGGUGAAAUCCCAUCUCUACUGAAAAUACAAAAAUUAGCUGGGCAUGGUGGUGAGUGCCUGUAAUUCCAGCUACUCUGGAGGCUGAGGCAGGAGAAUCACUUGAACCUGGAAGGUGGAGGUUACAGUGAGCCGAGACUGUGCUACUGCACUCCAGCCUGGGCAUCAGAGCCAGACUCUGUCAAAACACACACACACACACACACACACACACACACACACGCACACACAGAAACACAGAUACAAUGAUUCUUGAAAAUAUUGGACAGUAUAUCUAUUUUUUUGUUAAAUGGAUUGCAGUGGUGUUGUGAGGAAAACAUUUUUGGGGAGUAACAGCUAAGACUGUACUAUCAAUAUCUGAUAAAUCUCUGUGUUAUUUUUCAUUAAUAUUUUACAUGGCAUGCUGAAAAAUACCCAUCCAAUGAAAUCUCCUUACAGAUUUCUGCUCAGUUGUCUCUGGGGUCCUUUAAAUUGUCCCAGAAAUCCAAAAAAUCACGGCUACUUCAAUGGAAAACACAAGUCCUAGUUCUGGUGACAAAAUAUCUUCCUGACUUAAAAAUGUACGUAUUUCACUCUAGCAUUUUAUUACUUGACAAAUUUGGGUUCAGAUGAUGGUAUUGACUUGUCUAAACUUUCCCAGCCACACCAAUUCUCACUUAUUCAGUAAGGAAACCAACUAUUUCCACUUUUAUUUUUUUAUUUUUAUUUUUUUUUUGAGACGGAGUCUCCCUCUUUCACCCACGCUGGACUGCAGUGGCGCGAUCUCGGCUCACUGCAAGCUCCGCCUCCCAGGUUCACGCCAUUCUCCUGCCUCAGCGUCCGGAGUAGCUGGGACUACAGGUGCCCGCCACCACGCCGGGCUAAUUUUUUGUAUUUUUAGUAGAGACGGGGUUUCACCGUGUUAGACAGCAUGGUCUCGAUCUCCUGACCUCGUGAUCCGCCCGCCUCGACCUCCGAAAGUGCUGGGAUUACAGGCGUGAGCCACCGCGCCCGGCCUCCACUUUUCAUCUUCCAGACCCGCAAAACCUAUUGUCCUUUGCAUUUCCUCUAUUUAAAUUUUAUAGAAAACAUAAUCUUCUUGAUACCAUCAUUUUGGAGAUGAGAAAUGGCAACUACUUCAAAAUGAAUCUUCAACAGCAGUUGGAGGAGAUUUAAAGACAAUGCAUGCAUGAAGAUGGGCGUGAGAUGCCAGUAACUCCAUGAAUUAGAGUUUCACAUAAGCCAAACCCUCACAGAAUGUCUGCAAAAAAACCCAAGGAAGACGGGGAUAGUUUGACCUCAGCUGUCCACUGCUAGUGGAGAGUAUUUAAGAUAAUCAUUUUAGUAACUUUAGGAUACAAUUAUUUUUAGGAUCUUCCUGUGCUAUUGGCAGUGGGCUGUUUCUCAGUUUGCUGUUGAUUUUUGGUCAAUAGCUGUUACAUGUUACAUGAUCAGAUGUUAUAAUCAAUUAGUUUUAUAUUUUUUCUUUUAAUUGUUUUCCAUAUUGAAACCCACGUGUCAUAAUCUAAUAAUGCUGGAGCUGCAGAGUGUCUCUGAGUUUGAUUUUUGCAAAGACAUUGAUGCAUUUCAAGAAACUAAAGAUAAUAAUGGCAUGGAUAAUAAUUAUACAUUACAUUAAAAAGAAUUAACAGGCGUGGGGUGGUGACUCACGCUUGUAAUCCCAGUACUUUGGGAGGCUGAGGCAGGUGGACCACCUGAGGUCAGAAGUUUAAGACUAGCCUGGCCAACAUGGUGAAAACCUGUCUCUACUAAAUUACAAAAAUAAGCCGGGCAUAUUGGCUCAUGCCUGUAGUCCCAGCUACUUGGGAGGCUGAGAAACAAGAAUCAUGUGAACCUGGGAGGCAGAGGCUGCAGUGAGCCGAGAUCACACCACUGCACUCCAGCCUGGGUGACAGAGAGAGACUCUGUCUCAAAAUAAAUAAAUAAAUAAAUAAAUAAAUAAAUAAAUAAAAAUAAAAGGAAUUAACAAAGAAUUUCUUGAUGGUAAAAUCACCCGUGUGUUUAUAUCAGUGGCCUUUAUGGCUCUGUGUGUCUGUAUGGUGUGGAGAGUGUAUCCUGAGCUAUGUUCCUCUUAUUUUACCUAUAAGCACAUGAUCUGCUUUAUUAUUAUAUUUAAAUAUCCUUAUUGAAUUAUAGUAUGAUGUGCAUUCACAUACAUUUUAUGUAUUUCAAUAAAGACAAAGCGGAGGUUCAACUUAUCCCUUUGUAUGUAACUAACUGUCAUUGUCUGUUUGCCUCAUGGAUCUUAAAAGCCUUCAAGGUGAAGACCAAGCUAAAAUUAUUGAUGUAUCCCCAAUACUCAUAAUAACAUCCUGUCCAAAGUGAUAGCUUAAUAACAGUUUGAAGAGUAAAUUAAUAACUUCAAGAUUAUUUUAUGUAUUUGAAGCUUAGGCAAAGGAGAGUCAAUGAUGCAUUAUCAGAAGACCAUAAAGGAUAUCAAUCUUGCAGACCUGGGAAACCAAGAUAAAUAAAAUGUAUGCUUUUCUAUCAUUCAUAGGGGUGCCCUGUGUGGGAUGUUUUGGCCGUUUUUAAACCUGACAAAAUCUGGCAAAGUUUGCCUUCUCUUGAGGUAUUCCUGGCCCUCCACCCUCCUGGCUUCCUGUAGAUUGCACCCACCCUUGUCCCAGAAGAAUGAAUUACUCACUUCCAGAGAAAAGAUAAUCAAAGUGUGGUAUAGAAUGACGCUGGAUGAGAAUGUUUGUUUCUCCAUAAUUCUGUAACGUCUUCGAGAGUUUGGAAUUUUAAUACCCCACCCUAGUUCACUUCCUAGCACAUAGUUGGUAUUCAAAUAAUUUCUUAAAGCAUAGUGUUCAAUAAAUCUUUAGAUAAAAAAAUUGUGAAAAGUAAAAAGUAUAUUUUAAUAGGAGUAAAACUAGACAUUAUGAUAGAAUCUGAAUAAAAAGGGAAGCAUGACCUUUAGCCUGGGGAAGAAUAUCCUAUAAGAAUUCCAUAGAAUAUCUCUUAGUAAAUGUAGUAAAAACACCCAUUGAUCAAAAGAAAUUGGAUCUAUGGCUCAUAAUAACAUCUCAUUGAUUGAAAAGCACUUUGUAAUAGCUUUCUUCCAUGUGAUAUCUGUCAGGCAUUAACCUUUCAGCCUCCUGAUCAUGUGAAAGGAAUUCUUUGCUUAUGCCACUGCUCAUAUGACCCCAUCCAUGACAUUUCAUAAAUUGCAUCUAUUGAACAGAGAUUUUGGGUUUUCUGGAACUGAAAAAUCCAUUGCCAAAGCAAGGCAUUUCUCUAUGGAUUGUAUGAUAGAAUUUAGCCAUAUGCUCUAGAGACCUGGAGCUAUUUUAGCAAACUUGACUACCUCUGAAAAAUGACUACUUACAAAGAGAUAAGUAAGUUUCAAAUUUUAGAACAUGUAGGGUUCACAUAGAAAUACAUUUAGAAGCAAUCAUAUAUUUAUUUACUCUUUUAAGGACACAUUUAAAAACAUAAAGUGUUCCUCUUAUUUAAAGCAAUGAGUUAAAAUUAUACCAAAUUCUGUACAUAAAAAAGUGAAUAUGCUAAUAAAAUAGUCCACCAAGUUUUAUUAUUAACACUAGGAAAUCAAUCUGCAUGUCCUAACAAAUAAAUAACAAAAUAGAUGAGCAUUUUAACAAAAUAUAAUCUCUUGUAAUUCCAGCUUCAAGCUUGUGUUGCUUUCUUAAGCAGAAAU